rnacentral:rRNA from 1 species
GAUGAGUAUUGUCGGCUAGCAAAGUCCACCGCUUUAGAAAAUCUUAGAAGAUUUGUGCGUGCUGUGAUCGAGGUCUUUGGGGGUCAAUACCUGAGAUCUCCAAAUGCUGAAGAUACUGCUAGAUUACUUGCAAUUGGAGAGCAAAGGGGGUUUCCGGGUAUGCUCGGAAGCAUCGACUGCAUGCAUUGGAAGUGGAAAAAUUGCCCUACUGCACACAAAGGGUUUUUUGUUGGCCAUAAACGCGUACCCACGGUCAUUCUUGAAGCCAUUGCUUCACAAGACCUUUGGAUUUGGCAUUCUUUCUUUGGUUUACCAGGAUCACCCGUUCACCCGUGUUUGCAAACCUAG